GAUGAAGAACGCAGCAAAAUGCGAUAAGUAAUGUGAAUUGCAGAAUUCAGUGAAUCAUCGAAUCUUUGAACGCACAUUGCGCCCGCCAGCACUCUGGCGGGCAUGCCUGUUCGAGCGUCAUUUCAACCAUCAAGCCCCAGGCUUGCGUUGGAGCCCUGCGGCUGCCGCAGCCUCCUAAAAGCAGUGGCGGGCUCGCUAUCACACCGAGUGCAGUAGAUUACUCUUCGCUCAGGGCGUGCAGCGGGUUCCGGCCGUGAAACCCCCUACUUUUAAAGGUUGACCUCGGAUCAGGUAGGAAUACCCGCUGAACUUAAGCAUAUCAAUAAGCGGAGGA
rnacentral:misc_RNA from 1 species